rnacentral:misc_RNA from 1 species
GGGAUUAUUGCUAUUGGGGCUAUUGUAACCACUUGUAAUCCUGUCUACACGGUGUCUGAGCUAACCAAGCAAGUUAAAGAUGCUAAACCCAAACUUGUGAUAUCUGUUGCUGAAUUGUGGGACAAAGUGAAGGAUCUAAACAUCCCAACUGUGUUACUGGACCAGCAGAUUCCUUCAGCAAUUCACUCUUCCAAAAUAUUAUGUUUC